rnacentral:rRNA from 1 species
CCUUCGGGGUGAUUUGUUGGACGCUAGCGGCGGAUGGGUGAGUAACACGUGGGCAAUCUGCCCUAAAGACUGGGAUACCACUUGGAAACAGGUGCUAAUACCGGAUAACAACAUGAAUCGCAUGAUUCAAGUUUGAAAGGCGGCGCAAGCUGUCACUUUAGGAUGAGCCCGCGGCGCAUUAGCUAGUUGGUGGGGUAAAGGCCUACCAAGGCAAUGAUGCGUAGCCGAGUUGAGAGACUGAUCGGCCACAUUGGGACUGAGACACGGCCCAAACUCCUACGGGAGGCAGCAGUAGGGAAUCUUCCACAAUGGACGCAAGUCUGAUGGAGCAACGCCGCGUGAGUGAAGAAGGUCUUCGGAUCGUAAAGCUCUGUUGUUGGUGAAGAAGGAUAGAGGCAGUAACUGGUCUUUAUUUGACGGUAAUCAACCAGAAAGUCACGGCUAACUACGUGCCAGCAGCCGCGGUAAUACAA